rnacentral:rRNA from 1 species
UACGUAGGGCGCAAGCGUUGUCCGGAAUUAUUGGGCGUAAAGAGCUCGUAGGCGGCUUGUCGCGUCGGAUGUGAAAGCCCGGGGCUUAACUCCGGGUCUGCAUUCGAUACGGGCAGGCUAGAGUUCGGUAGGGGAGACCGGAAUUCCUGGUGUAGCGGUGAAAUGCGCAGAUAUCAGGAGGAACACCGGUGGCGAAGGCGGAUCUCUGGGCCGAUACUGACGCUGAGGAGCGAAAGCGUGGGGAGCGAACAGG